AAAAUGAAGAAAAAAAUAUUUGGGGUGUUCGGGCUUCCUGAAGGUAAUACCCGGGUAUUAGAUUUCAAGGCUAGGGUAAGGUUUAAGGUUUUUGGCGUUAGGGUUAAAAUCACUGUCCAAAACCUUUGUAGGAACUCUUUUCCAACCUUUUGGAGUUAGUUAGACCAAAAAAUAUGAAAAAAGAAAAAAAUAUUAUUGGGGGUUUUCGGGCUCCCUGAAAGUAAUACCCGGGUAUUAGGUUUUGGGACUAGGGAAAGGUUUAAGGUUUUUGGCGUUAGGGUUAAAAUCACUGUCCAAAACCUUUGUAGGAACUCUUUUCCAACCUUUUGGAGUUAGUUAGACCAAAAAAAAAUGAAAAAUUAAAAAAAAUAUAUUUGGGGUGUUCAGGCUUCCUAAAAGUAAUACCCGGGUAUUAGGUUAUGGGGCUAUGGUAAGGUUUAAGGUUUUUGGCGUUAGGGUUAAAAUCACUGUCCAAAACCUUUGUAGGAACUCUUUUUCAACCUUUUAGAGUUAGUUAGACAAAAAAAAAAAUGAAAAAUGAAAAAAAAAUUAUUUGGGGUUCACGGGCUUCCUGAAUGUAAUACCCGGGUAUUAGAUUUUAAGGCCAGGGAAAGGUUUAAGUUUUUUGGCGUUAGGGUUAAAAUCACUGUCCAAAACCUUUGUAGGAACUCUUUUCCAACCUUUUGGAGUUAGUUAGACCAAAAAAUAUGAAAAAAGAAAAAAAUAUUAUUGGGGGUGUUCAGGCUUCCUAAAAGUAAUACCCGGGUAUUAGGUUAUGGGGCUAUGGUAAGGUUUAACGUUUUGGCGUUAGGGUUAAAAUCACUGUCCAAAACCUUUGUAGGAACUCUUUUCCAACCUUUUGGAGUUAGUUAGACCAAAAAAAAAAUGAAAAAUGAAAAAAUAUAUAUUUGGGGUGUUCAGGCUUCCUAAAAGUAAUACCCGGGUAUUAGGUUAUGGGGCUAUGGUAAGGUUUAAGGUUUUUGGCGUUAGGGUUAAAAUCACUGUCCAAAACCUUUGUAGGAACUCUUUUCCAACCUUUUGGAGUUAGUUAGACCAAAAAAAAAAAAGAAAAAUGAAAAAAAAAAUAUUUGGGGUUUUCGGGCUUCCUGAAGGUAAUACCCGGGUAUUAGAUUUUAAGGCUAGGGUAAGGUUUAAGUUUUUUGGCGUUAGGGUUAAAAUCACUGUCCAAAACCUUUGUAGGAACUCUUUUCCAACCUUUUGGAGUUAGUUAGACCAAAAAAAAAUGAAAAUGAAAAGAAAAAAAAAAUAUUUGGGGUUUCCGGGCUUCCUGAAGGUAAUACAAGGGUAUUAUGUUAUGGGGCUAGAGUAAGGUUCAAGUUUUUUGGCGUUAGGGUUAAAAUCACUGUCCAAAACCUUUGUAGGAACUUCUUUCAAACCUUUUGGAGUUAGUUAGACCAAAGAAAAUGUAAAAUGAAGAAAAAAAUAUUUGGGGUGUUCAGGCUUCCUAGAAGUAAUACCCGGGUAUAAGAUUAUGGGGCUAUGGUAAGGUUUAAGGUUUUUGGUAUUAGGGUUAAAAUCACUGUCCAAAACCUUUGUAGGAACUCUUUUCCAACCUUUUGGAGUUGGUUACACCAACAAAAAUGUAAAAUGAAAACAGAUAUAUAUGGGGUUUUCGGGCUUCCUGAAGGGAAUACCCGGGUAUUAGGUUAUGGGGCUAUGGUAAGGUUUAAGGUUUUUGGCAUUAGGGUUAAAAUCACUGUCCAAAACCUUUGCAGGAACUCUUUUCCAACCUUUUGGAGUUGGUUACACCAACAAAAAUGUAAAAUAAAAAAAAUAUAUAUUUUGGUUGUUCGGGCUUCCUAAAAGUAAUACCCGGGUAAUAGGUUAUGGGGCUAUGGUAAGGUUUAAGGUUUUUGGCAUUAGGGUUAAAAUCACUGUCCAAAACCUUUGUAGGAACUCUUUUUCAACCUUUUGGAGUUAGUUAGACCAAAAAAAAAAUGAAAAAUGAAAAAAAAAAUAUUUGGGGUUUACGGGCUUCCUGAAUGUAAUACCCGGGUAUUAGAUUUUAAGGCCAGGGAAAGGUUUAAGUUUUUUUGCGUUAGGGUUAAAAUCACUGUCCAAAACCUUUGUAGGAACUCUUUUCCAACCUUUUGGAGUUAGUUAGACCAAAAAAUAUGAAAAAAGAAAAAAAUAUUAUUGGGGGUUUUUGGGCUCCCUGAAAGUAAUACCCGGGUAUUAGGUUUUGGGGCUAGGGAAAGGUUUAAGUUUUUUGGCGUUAGGGUUAAAAUCACUGUCCAAAACCUUUGUAGGAACUCUUUUCCAACCUUUUGGAGUUAGUUAGACCAAAAAAAAAAGAAAAAUGAAAAAAAAAUAUUUGGGGUGUUCAGGCUUCCUAAAAGUAAUACCCGGGUAUUAGGUUAUGGGGCUAUGGUAAGGUUUAAGUUUUUUGGCGUUAGGGUUAAAAUCACUGUCCAAAACCUUUGUAGGAACUCUUUAACAACCUUUUGGAUUUAGUUAGACCAAAAAAAAUGAAAAAUUAAAAAAAAUAUAUUUGGGGUGUUCAGGCUUCCUAAAAGUAAUACCCGGGUAUUAGGUCAUGGGGCUAUGGUAAGGUUUAAGGUUUUUGGCGUUAGGGUUAAAAUCACUGUCCAAAACCUUUGUAGGAACUCUUUUCCAACCUUUUGGAGUUAGUUAGACCAAAAAAAAAAUAUGAAAAAUGAAAAAAAAAUAUUUGGGGUUUACGGGCUUCCUGAAUGUAAUACCCGGGUAUUAGAUUUUAAGGCCAGGGAAAGGUUUAAGUUUUUUGGCGUUAGGGUUAAAAUCACUGUCCAAAACCUUUGUAGGAACUCUUUUCCAACCUUUUGGAGUUAGUUAGACCAAAAAUUAUGAAAAAAGAAAAAAAUAUUAUUGGGGGUUUUCGGGCUCCCUGAAAGUAAUACCCGGGUAUUAGGUUUUGGGGCUAUGGUAAGGUUUAAGUUUUUUGGCGUUAGGGUUAAAAUCACUGUCCAAAACCUUUGUAGGAACUCUUUUCCAACCUUUUGGAGUUAGUUAGACCAAAAAAUAUGAAAAAAGAAAAAAAUAUUAUUGGGGGUUUUCGGGCUUCCUGAAUGUAAUACCCGGGUAUUAGGUUUUGGGGCUAUGGUAAGGUUUAAGUUUUUUGGCGUUAGGGUUAAAAUCACUGUCCAAAACCUUUGUAGGAACUCUUUAACAACCUUUUGGAGUUAGUUAGACCAAAAAAAAUGAAAAAUUAAAAAAAAUAUAUUUGGGGUGUUCGGGCUUCCUAAAAGUAAUACCCGGGUAUUAGGUUUUAAGGCUAGGGUAAGGUUUAAGUUUUUUGGCGUUAGGGUUAAAAUCACUGUCCAAAACCUUUGUAGGAACUCUUUUCCAACCUUUUGGAGUUAGUUAGACCAAAAAAAAAGAAAAAUGAAAAAACAAUAUUUGGGGUUUUCGGGGUUCCUGAAUGUAAUACCCGGGUAUUAGAUUUUAAGGCUAGGGUAAGGUUUAAGUUUUUUGGCGUUAGGGUUAAAAUCACUGUCCAAAACCUUUGUAGGAACUCUUUUCCAACCUUUUGGAGUUAGUUAGACCAAAAAGUAUGAAAAAAGAAAAAAAUAUUAUUGGGGGUUUUCGGGCUCCCUGAAAGUAAUACCCGGGUAUUAGGUUAUGGGGCUAUGGUAAGGUUUAAGUUUUUUGGCGUUAGGGUUAAAAUCACUGUCCAAAACCUUUGUAGGAACUCUUUUCCAACCUUUUGGAGUUAGUUAGACCAAAAAAAAAAGAAAAAUGAAAAAAAAUAUUUGGGGUGUUCAGGCUUCCUGAAAGUAAUACCCGGGUAUUAGGUUAUGGGGCUAUGGUAAGGUUUAAGUUUUUUGGCGUUAGGGUUAAAAUCACUGUCCAAAACCUUUGUAGGAACUCUUUUCCAACCUUUUGGAGUUAGUUAGACCAAAAAAAUAUGAAAAAAGAAAAAAAUAUUAUUGGGGGUUUUCGGGCUCCCUGAAAGUAAUACCCGGGUAUUAGGUUUUGGGGCUAUGGUAAGGUUUAAGUUUUUUGGCGUUAGGGUUAAAAUCACUGUCCAAAACCUUUGUAGGAACUCUUUUCCAACCUUUUGGAGUUAGUUAGACCAAAAAAAAAAGAAAAAUGAAAAAAAAAUAUUUGGGGUGUUCAGGCUUCCUAAAAGUAAUACCUGGGUAUUAGGUUAUGGGGCUAUGGUAAGGUUUAAGGUUUUUGGCGUUAGGGUUAAAAUCACUGUCCAAAACCUUUGUAGGAACUCUUUUCCAACCUUUUGGAGUUAGUUAGACCAAAAAAAAAUGAAAAAUGAAAAAAAAAAUAUUUGGGGUUUACCGGGCUCCCUGAUUGUAAUACCCGGGUAUUAGAUUUUAAGGCCAGGGAAAGGUUUAAGUUUUUUGGCGUUAGGGUUAAAAUCACUGUCCAAAACCUUUGUAGGAACUCUUUUCCAACCUUUUGGAGUUGGUUACACCAACAAAAAUGUAAAAUGAAAAAAAUAUUUGGGGUGUUCGGGCUUCCUGAAGGUAAUACCCGGGUAUUAGAUUUUAAGGCUAGGGUAAGGUUUAAGUUUUUUGGCGUUAGGGUUAAAAUCACUGUCCAAAACCUUUGUAGGAACUCUUUUCCAACCUUUUGGAGUUAGUUACACCAACAAAAAUGUAAAAUGAAAAAAAUAUAUUUGGGGUUUUCAGGCUUCCUGAAGGUUAAUACCCGGGUAUUAGAUUUUAAGGCUAGGGUAAGGUUUAAGUUUUUUGGCGUUAGGGUUAAAAUCACUGUCCAAAACCUUUGUAGGAACUCUUUUCCAACCUUUUGGAGUUAGUUAGACCAAAAAAAAAUGAAAAAUUAAAAAACAAUAUUUGGGGUUUUCGGGGUUCCUGAAUGUAAUACCCGGGUAUUAGAUUUUGAGGCUAGGGUAAGGUUUAAGGUUUUUGGCGUUAGGGUUAAAAUCACUGUCCAAAACCUUUGUAGGAACUCUUUUCCAACCUUUUGGAGUUAGUUAGACCAAAAAAUAUGAAAAAAGAAAAAAAUAUUAUUGGGGGUUUUCGGGCUCCCUGAAAGUAAUACCCAUGUAUUAGGUUUUGGGACUAGGGAAAGGUUUAAGGGUUUUGGCGUUAGGGUUAAAAUCACUGUCCAAAACCUUUGUAGGAACUCUUUUCCAACCUUUUGGAGUUAGUUUGACCAAAAAAAAAAGAAAAAUGAAAAAAAAAUAUUUGGGGAGUUCAGGCUUCCUAAAAGUAAUACCCAGGUAUUAGGUUUUGUGGCUAGGGUAAGGUUUAAGUUUUUUGGCAUAAGGGUUAAAAUCACUGUCCAAAACCUUUGUUGGAACUCUUUUCCAACCUUUUGGAGUUAGUUAGACCAAAAAAAUAUGAAAAAUGAAAAAAAUAUAUUUGGGGUUUUCUGGCUUCCUGAAUGUAAUACCCGGGUAUUAGAUUUUUUGGCUAGGGUAAGGUUUAAGUUUUUUGGCGUUAGGGUUAAAAUCACUGUCCAAAACCUUUGUAGGAACUCUUUUCCAACCUUUUGGAGUUAGUUAAACCAAAAAAAAAAAUGAAAAAUGAAAAAAUAUAUAUUUGGGUGUUUCGGGCUUCCUGAAUGUAAUACCCGGGUAUUAGAUUUUAAGGCUAGGGUAAGGUUUAAGGUUUUUGGCGUUAGGGUUAAAAUCACUGUCCAAAACCUUUGUAGGAACUCUUUUCCAACCUUUUGGAGUUAGUUAGACCAAAAAAAAUGAAAAAUGAAAAAAAAAAUAUUUGGGGUGUUCGGGCUUCCUGAAGGUAAUACCCGGGUAUUAGAUUUUAAGGCUAGGGUAAGGUUUAAGGUUUUUGGCGUUAGGGUUAAAAUCACUGUCCAAAACCUUUGUAGGAACUCUUUUCCAACCUUUUGGAGUUAGUUAGACCAAAAAAAAAAGAAAAAUGAAAAAAAAAUAUUUUGGGUGUUCAGGCUUCCUAAAAGUAAUACCCGGGUAUUAGGUUAUGGGGCUAUGGUAAGGUUUAAGGUUUUUGGCGUUAGGGUUAAAAUCACUGUCCAAAACCUUUGUAGGAACUCUUUUCCAACCUUUUGGAGUUAGUUAGACCAAAAAAAAAUGAAAAAUGAAGAAAAAAAUAUUUGGGGUGUUCAGGCUUCCUAAAAGUAAUACCCGGGUAUUAGGUUAUGGGGCUAUGGUAAGGUUUAAGGUUUUUGGCGUUAGGGUUAAAAUCACUGUCCAAAACCUUUGUAGGAACUCUUUUCCAACCUUUUGGAGUUGGUUACACCAACAAAAAUGUAAAAUGAAAAAAAAAUAUAUUUUGGUUGUUCGGGCUUCCUAAAAGUAAUACCCGGGUAAUAGGUUAUGGGGCUAUGGUAAGGUUUAAGGUUUUUGGCGUUAGGGUUAAAAUCACUGUCCAAAACCUUUGUAGGAACUCUUUUUCAACCUUUUGGAGUUAGUUAGACCAAAAAAUAUGAAAAAAGAAAAAAAAAUUAUUUGGGGUUUACGGGCUUCCUGAAUGUAAUACCCGGGUAUUAGAUUUUAAGGCCAGGGAAAGGUUUAAGUUUUUUGGCGUUAGGGUUAAAAUCACUGUCCAAAACCUUUGUAGGAACUCUUUUCCAACCUUUUGGAGUUAGUUAGACCAAAAAGUAUGAAAAAAGAAAAAAAUAUUAUUGGGGGUUUUCGGGCUCCCUGAAAGUAAUACCCGGGUAUUAGGUUUUGGGGCUAUGGUAAGGUUUAAGUUUUUUGGCGUUAGGGUUAAAAUCACUGUCCAAAACCUUUGUAGGAACUCUUUUCCAACCUUUUGGAGUUAGUUAGACCAAAAAAUAUGAAAAAAGAAAAAAAUAUUAUUGGGGGUUUUCGGGCUUCCUGAAUGUAAUACCCGGGUAUUAGGUUUUGGGGCUAUGGUAAGGUUUAAGUUUUUUGGCGUAAGGUUUAACGUUUUGGCGUUAGGUUUAAAAUCACUGUCCAAAACCUUUGUAGGAACUCUUUAACAACCUUUUGGAUUUAGUUAGACCAAAAAAAAUGAAAAAUUAAAAAAAAUAUAUUUGGGGUGUUCAGGCUUCCUAAAAGUAAUGCCCGGGUAUUAGGUUUUAAGGCUAGGGUAAGGUUUAAGUUUUUUGGCAUUAGGGUUAAAAUCACUGUCCAAAACCUUUGUAGGAACUCUUUUCCAACCUUUUGGAGUUAGUUAGACCAAAAAAAAAGAAAAAUGAAAAAACAAUAUUUGGGGUUUUCGGGGUUCCUGAAUGUAAUACCCGGGUAUUAGAUUUUAAGGCUAGGGUAAGGUUUAAGUUUUUUGGCAUUAGGGUUAAAAUCACUGUCCAAAACCUUUGUAGGAACUCUUUUCCAACCUUUUGGAGUUAGUUAGACCAAAAAAUAUGAAAAAAGAAAAAAAUAUUAUUGGGGGUUUUCGGGCUCCCUGAAAGUAAUACCCGGGUAUUAGGUUAUGGGGCUAUGGUAAGGUUUAAGUUUUUUGGCGUUAGGGUUAAAAUCACUGUCCAAAACCUUUGUAGGAACUCUUUUCCAACCUUUUGGAGUUAGUUAGACCAAAAAAAAAGAAAAAUGAAAAAAAAAUAUUUGGGGUGUUCAGGCUUCCUGAAUGUAAUACCCGGGUAUUAGGUUAUUGGGCUAUGGUAAGGUUUAACGUUUUGGCGUUAGGUUUAAAAUCACUGUCCAAAACCUUUGUAGGAACUCUUUUCCAACCUUUUGGAGUUAGUUAGACCAAAAAAUAUGAAAAAAGAAAAAAAUAUUAUUGGGGGUUUUCGGGCUCCCUGAAAGUAAUACCCGGGUAUUAGGUUUUGGGGCUAUGGUAAGGUUUAAGUUUUUUGGCGUUAGGGUUAAAAUCACUGUCCAAAACCUUUGUAGGAACUCUUUUCCAACCUUUUGGAGUUAGUUAGACCAAAAAAAAAGAAAAAUGAAAAAAAAAUAUUUGGGGUGUUCAGGCUUCCUAAAAGUAAUACCCGGGUAUUAGGUUAUGGGGCUAUGGUAAGGUUUAAGGUUUUUGGCGUUAGGGUUAAAAUCACUGUCCAAAACCUUUGUAGGAACUCUUUUCCAACCUUUUGGAGUUAGUUAGACCAAAAAAAAAAUGAAAAAUGAAAAAAAAAAUAUUUGGGGUUUACCGGGCUCCCUGAUUGUAAUACCCGGGUAUUAGAUUUUAAGGCCAGGGAAAGGUUUAAGUUUUUUGGCGUUAGGGUUAAAAUCACUGUCCAAAACCUUUGUAGGAACUCUUUUUCAACCUUUUGGAGUUAGUUACACCAACAAAAAUGUAAAAUGAACAAAAAAAUAUUUGGGGUGUUCGGGCUUCCUGAAGGUAAUACCCGGGUAUUAGAUUUUAAGGCUAGGGUAAGGUUUAAGUUUUUUGGCGUUAGGGUUAAAAUCACUGUCCAAAACCUUUGUAGGAACUCUUUUCCAACCUUUUGGAGUUAGUUACACCAACAAAAAUGAAAAAUGAACAAAAAUAUAUUUGGGGUUUUCAGGCUUCCUGAAGGUUAAUACCCGGGUAUUAGAUUUUAAGGCUAGGGUAAGGUUUAAGUUUUUUGGCGUUAGGGUUAAAAUCACUGUCCAAAACCUUUGUAGGAACUCUUUUCCAACCUUUUGGAGUUAGUUAGACCAAAAAAAAUGAAAAAUUAAAAAACAAUAUUUGGGGUUUUCGGGGUUCCUGAAUGUAAUACCCGGGUAUUAGAUUUUGAGGCUAGGGUAAGGUUUAAGGUUUUUGGCGUUAGGGUUAAAAUCACUGUCCAAAACCUUUGUAGGAACUCUUUUCCAACCUUUUGGAGUUAGUUAGACCAAAAAAUAUGAAAAAAGAAAAAAAUAUUAUUGGGGGUUUUCGGGCUCCCUGAAAGUAAUACCCAUGUAUUAGGUUUUGGGACUAGGGAAAGGUUUAAGGGUUUUGGCGUUAGGGUUAAAAUCACUGUCCAAAACCUUUGUAGGAACUCUUUUCCAACCUUUUGGAGUUAGUUUGACCAAAAAAAAAAGAAAAAUGAAAAAAAAAUAUUUGGGGAGUUCAGGCUUCCUAAAAGUAAUACCCAGGUAUUAGGUUUUGUGGCUAGGGUAAGGUUUAAGUUUUUUGGCAUAAGGGUUAAAAUCCCUGUCCAAAACCUUUGUAGGAACUCUUUUCCAACCUUUUGGAAUUAGAUAAACCAAAAAAAUAUGAAAAAUGAAAAAACAUAUAUUUGGGGUUUUCGGGCUUCCUGAAUGUAAUACCCGGGUAUUAGAUUUUAAGGCUAGGGUAAGGUUUAAGUUUUUUGGCGAUAGGGUUAAAAUCACUGUCCAAAACCUUUGUAGGAACUCUUUUCCAACCUUUUGGAGUUAGUUAAACCAAAAAAAAAAAAUGAAAAAUGAAAAAAUAUAUAUUUGGGUGUUUCGGGCUUCCUGAAUGUAAUACCCGGGUAUUAGAUUUUAAGGCUAGGGUAAGGUUUAAGUUUUUUGGCGUUAGGGUUAAAAUCACUGUCCAAAACCUUUGUAGGAACUCUUGUCCAACCUUUUGGAGUUGGUUACACCAACAAAAAUGUAAAAUGAAAAAAACAUAUUUGGGGUGUUCGGGCUUCCUGAAGGUAAUACCCCGGUAUUAGAUUUUAAGGCUAGGGUAAGGUUUAAGGUUUUUGGCGUUAGGGUUAAAAUCACUGUCCAAAACCUUUGUAGGAACUCUUUUCCAACCUUUUGGAGUUAGUUAGACCAAAAAAAAAAGAAAAAUGAAAAAAAAAUAUUUUGGGUGUUCAGGCUUCCUAAAAGUAAUACCCGGGUAUUAGGUUAUGGGGCUAUGGUAAGGUUUAAGGUUUUUGGCGUUAGGGUUAAAAUCACUGUCCAAAACCUUUGUAGGAACUCUUUUUCAACCUUUUGGAGUUAGUUAGACCAAAAAAAAAUGAAAAAUGAAGAAAAAAAUAUUUGGGGUGUUCAGGCUUCCUAGAAGUAAUACCCGGGUAAAAGAUUAUGGGGCUAUGGUAAGGUUUAAGGAUUUUGGCAUUAGGGUUAAAAUCACUGUCCAAAACCUUUGCAGGAACUCUUUUCCAACCUUUUGGAUUUGGCUACACCAACAAAAAUGUAAAAUGAAAAAAAAAUAUAUUUUGGUUGUUCGGGCUUCCUAAAAGUAAUACCGGGGUAAUAGGUUAUGGGGCUAUGGUAAUGUUGAAGGUUUUUGGCGUUAGGGUUAAAAUCACUGUCCAAAACCUUUGUAGGAACUCUUUUUCAACCUUUUGGAGUUAGUUAGACCAAAAAGUAUGAAAAAAGAAAAAAAUAUUAUUGGGGUUUUCGGGCUCCCUGAAAGUAAUACCCGGGUAUUAGGUUUUGGGGCUAUGGUAAGGUUUAAGUUUUUUGGCGUUAGGGUUAAAAUCACUGUCCAAAACCUUUGUAGGAACUCUUUUCCAACCUUUUGGAGUUAGUUAGACCAAAAAAAAAUGAAAAAUUAAAAAACAAUAUUUGGGGUUUUCGGGGUUCCUGAAUGUAAUACCCGGGUAUUAGAUUUUAAGGCUGGGGUAAGGUUUAAGGUUUUUGGCGUUAGGUUUAAAAUCACUGUCCAAAACCUUUGUAGGAACUCUUUUCCAACCUUUUGGAGUUAGUUAGACCAAAAAAUAUGAAAAAAGAAAAAAAUAUAUUGGGGGUUUUCGGGCUUCCUGAAAGUAAUACCCGGGUAUUAGGUUUUGGGGCUAUGGUAAGGUUUAAGUUUUUUGGCGUUAGGGUUAAAAUCACUGUCCAAAACCUUUGUAGGAACUCUUUUCCAACCUUUUGGAGUUAGUUAGACCAAAAAAAAUGUAAAAUGAAGAAAAAAAUAUUUGGGGUGUUCAGGCUUCCUGAAGGUAAUACCCGGGUAUUAGAUUUCAAGGCUAGGGUAAGGUUUAAGGUUUUUGGCGUUAGGGUUAAAAUCACUGUCCAAAACCUUUGUAGGAACUCUUUUCCAACCUUUUGGAGUUAGUUAGACCAAAAAAUAUGAAAAAAGAAAAAAAUAUUAUUGGGAGUUUUCGGGCUCCCUGAAAGUAAUACCCGUGUAUUAGGUUUUGGGACUAGGGAAAGGUUUAAGGGUUUUGGCGUUAGGGUUAAAAUCACUGUCCAAAACCUUUGUAGGAACUCUUUUCCAACCUUUUGGAGUUAGUUAGACCAAAAAAAAUGAAAAAUUAAAAAAAAUAUAUUUGGGGUGUUCAGGCUUCCUAAAAGUAAUACCCGGGUAUUAGGUUAUGGGGCUAUGGUAAGGUUUAAGGUUUUUGGCGUUAGGGUUAAAAUCACUGUCCAAAACCUUUGUAGGAACUCUUUUCCAACCUUUUGGAGUUAGUUAGACCAAAAAAUAUGAAAAAAGAAAAAAAUAUUAUUGGGGGUUUUCGGGCUCCCUGAAAGUAAUACCCGGGUAUUAGGUUUUGGGGCUAUGGUAAGGUUUAAGUUUUUUGGCGUUAGGGUUAAAAUCACUGUCCAAAACCUUUGUAGGAACUCUUUUCCAACCUUUUGGAGUUAGUUAGACCAAAAAAAAAAGAAAAAUGAAAAAAAAAUAUUUGGGGUGUUCAGGCUUCCUGAAUGUAAUACCCGGGUAUUAGAUUUUAAGGCUAUGGUAAGGUUUAAGUUUUUUGGCGUUAGGGUUAAAAUCACUGUCCAAAACCUUUGUAGGAACUCUUUUCCAACCUUUUGGAGUUAGUUAGACCAAAAAAAAAUGAAAAAUGAAAAAAAAAUAUUUGGGGUUUUCGGGCUUCCUGAAUGUAAUACCCGGGUAUUAGGUUAUGGGGCUAUGGUAAGGUUUAAGUUUUUUGGCGUUAGGAUUAAAAUCACUGUCCAAAACCUUUGUAGGAACUCUUUUCCAACCUUUUGGAGUUAGUUAGACCAAAAAAAUGAAAAAUGAAAAAAAAAAUAUUUGGGGUUUACGGGCUUCCUGAUUGUAAUACCCGGGUAUUAGAUUUUAAGGCUAGGGUAAGGUUUAAGUUUUUUGGCGUUAGGGUUAAAAUCACUGUCCAAAACCUUUGUAGGAACUCUUUUCCAACCUUUUGGAGUUAGUUAGACCAAAAAAAAAAAAAAAAAUGAAAAAAAAAUAUUUGGGGUGUUCAGGCUUCCUAAAAGUAAUACCUGGGUAUUAGGUUAUAGGGCUAUGGUAAGGUUUAAGGUUUUUGGCGUUAGGGUUAAAAUCACUGUCCAAAACCUUUGUAGGAACUCUUUUCCAACCUUUUGGAGUUGGUUACACCAAAAAAAAUGAAAAAUGAAAAAGAAAUAUUUGGGGUGUUCGGGCUUCCUGAAUGUAAUACCCGGGUAUUAGAUUUUAAGGCUAGGGUAAGGUUUAAGUUUUUUGGCGUUAGGGUUAAAAUCACUGUCCAAAACCUUUGUAGGAACUCUUUUCCAACCUUUUGGAGUUAGUUAGACCAAAAAAAAAAGAAAAAUGAAAAAAAAAUAUUUGGGGUGUUCAGGCUUCCUAAAAGUAAUACCCGGGUAUUAGGUUAUGGGGCUAUGGUAAGGUUUAAGUUUUUUGGCGUUAGGGUUAAAAUCACUGUCCAAAACCUUUGUAGGAACUCUUUUCCAACCUUUUGGAGUUAGUUAGACCAAAAAAAAAUGAAAAAUUAAAAAACAAUAUUUGGGGUUUUUGGGGUUCCUGAAUGUAAUACCCGGGUAUUAGAUUUUGAGGCUAGGGUAAGGUUUAAGUUUUUUGGCGUUAGGGUUAAAAUCACUGUCCAAAACCUUUGUAGGAACUCUUUUCCAACCUUUUGGAGUUAGUUAGACCAAAAAAAAAUGUAAAAUGAAGAAAAAAAUAUUUGGGGUGUUCAGGCUUCCUGAAGGUAAUUCCCGGGUAUUAGUUUUGGGGCUAGGGUAAGGUUUAAGGUUUUUGGCGUUAGGGUUAAAAUCACUGUCCAAAACCUUUGUAGGAACUCUUUUCCAACCUUUUGGAGUUAGUUAGACCAAAAAAUAUGAAAAAAGAAAAAAAUAUUAUUGGGGGUUUUCGGGCUCCCUGAAAGUAAUACCCGGGUAUUAGGUUUUGGGGCUAUGGUAAGGUUUAAGUUUUUUGGCGUUAGGGUUAAAAUCACUGUCCAAAACCUUUGUAGGAACUCUUUUCCAACCUUUUGGAGUUAGUUAGACCAAAAAUAUGAAAAAAGAAAAAAAUAUUAUUGGGGGUUUUCGGGCUCCCUGAAAGUAAUACCCGGGUAUUAGGUUUUGGGGCUAUGGUAAGGUUUAAGUUUUUUGGCGUUAGGGUUAAAAUCACUGUCCAAAACCUUUGUAGGAACUCUUUUCCAACCUUUUGGAGUUAGUUAGACCAAAAAAAAAAAGAAAAAUGAAAAAAAAAAUUUUUGGGGUGUUCAGGCUUCCUAAAAGUAAUACCCGGGUAUUAGGUUAUGGGGCUAUGGUAAGGUUUAACGUUUUGGCGUUAGGUUUAAAAUCACUGUCCAAAACCUUUGUAGGAACUCUUUUCCAACCUUUUGGAGUUGGUUACACCAACAAAAAUGUAAAAUGAAAAAAAUAUAUAUUUGGGGUGUUCAGGCUUCCUAAAAGUAAUACCCGGGUAUUAGGUUAUGGGGCCAUGGUAAGGUUUAAGGUUUUGGCGUUAGGUUUAAAAUCACUGUCCAAAACCUUUGUAGGAACUCUUUUCCAACCUUUUGGAGUUAGUUAGACCAAAAAAAGAAUGAAAAAUGAAAACAAAAAUAUUUGGGGUUUCCGGGCUUCCUGAAGGUAAUACCCGGGUAUUAGGUUAUGGGGCUAGAGUAAGGUUUAAGUUUUUUGGCGUUAGGGUUAAAAUCACUGUCCAAAAACUUUGUAGGAGCUCCUUUCAAACCUUUUGGAAUUAGUUAGACCAAAGAAAAUGUAAAAUGAAGAAAAAAAUAUUUGGGGUGUUCAGGCUUCCUAGAAGUAAUACCCGGGUAUAAGAUUAUGGGGCUAUGGUAAGGUUUAAGGUUUUUGGCAUUAGGGUUAAAAUCACUGUCCAAAACCUUUGUAGGAACUCUUUUCCAACCUUUUGGAGUUAGUUAGACCAAAAAAAAAUGUAAAAUGAAAAAAAAAAAUAUUUGGGGUGUUCGGGCUUCCUAAAAGUAAUACCCGGGUAUUAGGUUAUGGGGCUAUGGUAAGGUUUAAGGUUUUUGGCGUUAGGGUUAAAAUCACUGUCCAAAACCUUUGUAGGAACUCUUUUCCAACCUUUUGGAGUUAGUUAGACCAAAAAAUAUGAAAAAAGAAAAAAAUAUUAUUGGGGGUUUUCGGGCUCCCUGAAAGUAAUACCCGGGUAUUAGGUUUUGGGGCUAUGGUAAGGUUUAAGUUUUUUGGCGUUAGGGUUAAAAUCACUGUCCAAAACCUUUGUAGGAACUCUUUUCCAACCUUUUGGAGUUAGUUAGACCAAAAAAAAAUGAAAAAUUAAAAAACAAUAUUUGGGGUUUUCGGGGUUCCUGAAUGUAAUACCCGGGUAUUAGAUUUUAAGGCUAGGGUAAGGUUUAAGGUUUUUGGCGUUAGGGUUAAAAUCACUGUCCAAAACCUUUGUAGGAACUCUUUUCCAACCUUUUGGAGUUAGUUAGACCAAAAAAAAAUGAAAAAUUAAAAAACAAUAUUUGGGGUUUUCGGGGUUCCUGAAUGUAAUACCCGGGUAUUAGAUUUUAAGGCUAGGGUAAGGUUUAAGGUUUUUGGCGUUAGGGUUAAAAUCACUGUCCAAAACCUUUGUAGGAACUCUUUUCCAACCUUUUGGAGUUAGUUAGACCAAAAAAAAAAAGAAAAAUGAAAAAAAAAUAUUUUGGGUGUUCAGGCUUCCUAAAAGUAAUACCCUGGUAUUAGGUUAUGGGGCUAUGGUAAGGUUUAAGGUUUUUUGGCGUUAGGGUUGAAAUCACUGUCCAAAACCUUUGUAGGAACUCUUUUUCAACCUUUUGGAGUUAGUUAGACCAAAAAAAAAUGAAAAAUGAAGAAAAAAAUAUUUGGGGUGUUCAGGCUUCCUAGAAGUAAUACCCGGGUAUAAGAUUAUGGGGCUAUGGUAAGGUUUAAGGUUUUUGGUAUUAGGGUUAAAAUCACUGUCCAAAACCUUUGUAGGAACUCUUUUCCAACCUUUUGGAGUUGGUUACACCAACAAAAAUGUAAAAUGAAAAAAAUAUAUAUUUUGGUUGUUCGGGCUUCCUAAAAGUAAUACCCGGGUAAUAGGUUAUGGGGCUAUGGUAAGGUUUAAGGUUUUUGGCGUUAGGGUUAAAAUCACUGUCCAAAACCUUUGUAGGAACUCUUUUUCAACCUUUUGGAGUUAGUUAGACCAAAAAGUAUGAAAAAAGAAAAAAAUAUUAUUGGGGGUUUUCGGGCUCCCUGAAAGUAAUACCCGGGUAUUAGGUUUUGGGGCUAUGGUAAGGUUUAAGUUUUUUGGCGUUAGGGUUAAAAUCACUGUCCAAAACCUUUGUAGGAACUCUUUUCCAACCUUUUGGAGUUAGUUAGACCAAAAAAAAAUGAAAAAUGAAAAAAAAAUGAUUUGGGGUUUUCGGGGUCCCUGAAAGUAAUACCCGGGUAUUAGGUUUUAAGGCUAGGGUAAGGUUUAAGGUUUUUGGCGUUAGGGUUAAAAUCACUGUCCAAAACCUUUGUAGGAACUCUUUUCCAACCUUUUGGAGUUAGUUAGACCAAAAAAUAUGAAAAAAGAAAAAAAUAUUAUUGGGGGUUUUCGGGCUCCCUGAAAGUAAUACCCGGGUAUUAGGUUUUGGGGCUAUGGUAAGGUUUAAGUUUUUUGGCGUUAGGGUUAAAAUCACUGUCCAAAACCUUUGUAGGAACUCUUUUCCAACCUUUUGGAGUUAGUUAGACCAAAAAAAAAUGAAAAAUGAAAAAAAAAAUAUUUGGGGUUUUCGGGGUUCCUGAAUGUAAUACCCGGGUAUUAGAUUUUAAGGCUAUGGUAAGGUUUAAGGUUUUUGGCGUUAGGGUUAAAAUCACUGUCCAAAACCUUUGUAGGAACUCUUUUCCAACCUUUUGGAGUUAGUUAGACCAAAAAAUAUGAAAAAAGAAAAAAAUAUUAUUGGGGGUUUUCGGGCUCCCUGAAAGUAAUACCCGUGUAUUAGGUUUUGGGACUAGGGAAAGGUUUAAGGGUUUUGGCGUUAGGGUUAAAAUCACUGUCCAAAACCUUUGUAGGAACUCUUUUCCAACCUUUUGGAGUUAGUUAGACCAAAAAAAAAUGAAAAAUUAAAAAAAAUAUAUUUGGGGUGUUCAGGCUUACUAAAAGUAAUACCCGGGUAUUAGGUUAUGGGGCUAUGGUAAGGUUUAAGGUUUUUGGCGUUAGGGUUAAAAUCACUGUCCAAAACCUUUGUAGGAACUCUUUUCCAACCUUUUGGAGUUAGUUAGACCAAAUAAAAAAUAAAAAAUGAAAAAAAAAAUUAUUUGGGGUUUACGGGCUUCCUGAAUGUAAUACCCGGGUAUUA